rnacentral:rRNA from 1 species
GACGAACGCUGGCGGCGUGCCUAAUACAUGCAAGUCGAACGGAAAGGCCCUGCUUUUGUUCGCUGCACGAGUGGCGAACGGGUGAGUAACACGUAAGUAACCUGCCCUUGACCUUGGGAUAACUUUAGGAAACUAUGGCUAAUACCGGAUAGGAGCUCCUGCUGCAUGGUGUGGGCUGGAAAGUUUCGGUGGUUGGGGUAGGACGCGCGGCUUAUUAGCUUGAUGGUGGGGUUGUGGUUUACCAAGGCUUUGACGGGUAGCCGGCCUGAGAGUGUGACCCGCCACAUUGGGACUGAGGUACGGGCCAGACUGCUACGGGAGGAAGCAGUGGGGAAUAGUGCGAGAAGGGCGGAAGCCUUGAGGAGCAACGCCGGGUGGGGGAUGACGGCCUUCGGGGUGGAAACAGCGUUCGCCUGUAACGAAGAGUGAGUGACGGUAAUGUGUAAAGAAGCAACGGCUAACUACGUG